GAGUUUGAUCCUGGCUCAGGAUGAACGCUGGCGGCGUGCUUAACACAUGCAAGUCGAACGAUUAACCCGCCCUCGGGCGGUUAUAGAGUGGCGAACGGGUGAGUAACACGUGACCAACCUGCCCCUUGCUCCGGGACAACCCAGGGAAACCUCGGCUAAUACCGGAUACUCCGCGCAGCCCGCAUGGGAGGCGCGGGAAAGCCCAGACGGCAAGGGAUGGGGUCGCGGCCCAUUAGGUAGACGGCGGGGUAACGGCCCACCGUGCCCGCGAUGGGUAGCCAGGUUGAGAGACCGAUCGGCCACAUUGGGACUGAGAUACGGCCCAGACUCCUACGGGAGGCAGCAGUGGGGAAUUUUGCGCAAUGGGGGAAACCCUGACGCAGCAACGCCGCGUGCGGGACGAAGGCCUUCGGGUUGUAAACCGCUUUCAGCAGGGAAUAUAGUGAAGGUACCUGCAGAAGAAGCUCCGGCUAACUACGUGUCAGCCGCCGCGGUAAUAC
rnacentral:rRNA from 1 species